rnacentral:tRNA from 1 species
AUCUGGCUGGCUCAGUUGGUGGAGUAUGCGACUCUUAAUCUCAGGGUAGUGAGUUCGAGCCCCAUGUUGGGUG